UUAAGCGACUAAGCGUACACGGUGGAUGCCCUGGCAGUCAGAGGCGAUGAAGGACGUGCUAAUCUGCGAUAAGCGUCGGUAAGGUGAUAUGAACCGUUAUAACCGGCGAUUUCCGAAUGGGGAAACCCAGUGUGAUUCGUCACACUAUCAUUAACUGAAUCCAUAGGUUAAUGAGGCGAACCGGGGGAACUGAAACAUCUAAGUACCCCGAGGAAAAGAAAUCAACCGAGAUUCCCCCAGUAGCGGCGAGCGAACGGGGAGCAGCCCAGAGCCUGAAUCAGUGUGUGUGUUAGUGGAAGCGUCUGGAAAGGCGCGCGAUACAGGGUGACAGCCCCGUACACAAAAAUGCACAUACUGUGAGCUCGAUGAGUAGGGCGGGACACGUGGUAUCCUGUCUGAAUAUGGGGGGACCAUCCUCCAAGGCUAAAUACUCCUGACUGACCGAUAGUGAACCAGUACCGUGAGGGAAAGGCGAAAAGAACCCCGGCGAGGGGAGUGAAAAAGAACCUGAAACCGUGUACGUACAAGCAGUGGGAGCCUCUUAAUGGGGUGACUGCGUACCUUUUGUAUAAUGGGUCAGCGACUUAUAUUCUGUAGCAAGGUUAACCGAAUAGGGGAGCCGAAGGGAAACCGAGUCUUAACUGGGCGUUAAGUUGCAGGGUAUAGACCCGAAACCCGGUGAUCUAGCCAUGGGCAGGUUGAAGGUUGGGUAACACUAACUGGAGGACCGAACCGACUAAUGUUGAAAAAUUAGCGGAUGACUUGUGGCUGGGGGUGAAAGGCCAAUCAAACCGGGAGAUAGCUGGUUCUCCCCGAAAGCUAUUUAGGUAGCGCCUCGUGAAUUCAUCUCCGGGGGUAGAGCACUGUUUCGGCAAGGGGGUCAUCCCGACUUACCAACCCGAUGCAAACUGCGAAUACCGGAGAAUGUUAUCACGGGAGACACACGGCGGGUGCUAACGUCCGUCGUGAAGAGGGAAACAACCCAGACCGCCAGCUAAGGUCCCAAAGUCAUGGUUAAGUGGGAAACGAUGUGGGAAGGCCCAGACAGCCAGGAUGUUGGCUUAGAAGCAGCCAUCAUUUAAAGAAAGCGUAAUAGCUCACUGGUCGAGUCGGCCUGCGCGGAAGAUGUAACGGGGCUAAACCAUGCACCGAAGCUGCGGCAGCGACGCUUAUGCGUUGUUGGGUAGGGGAGCGUUCUGUAAGCCUGCGAAGGUGUGCUGUGAGGCAUGCUGGAGGUAUCAGAAGUGCGAAUGCUGACAUAAGUAACGAUAAAGCGGGUGAAAAGCCCGCUCGCCGGAAGACCAAGGGUUCCUGUCCAACGUUAAUCGGGGCAGGGUGAGUCGACCCCUAAGGCGAGGCCGAAAGGCGUAGUCGAUGGGAAACAGGUUAAUAUUCCUGUACUUGGUGUUACUGCGAAGGGGGGACGGAGAAGGCUAUGUUGGCCGGGCGACGGUUGUCCCGGUUUAAGCGUGUAGGCUGGUUUUCCAGGCAAAUCCGGAAAAUCAAGGCUGAGGCGUGAUGACGAGGCACUACGGUGCUGAAGCAACAAAUGCCCUGCUUCCAGGAAAAGCCUCUAAGCAUCAGGUAACAUCAAAUCGUACCCCAAACCGACACAGGUGGUCAGGUAGAGAAUACCAAGGCGCUUGAGAGAACUCGGGUGAAGGAACUAGGCAAAAUGGUGCCGUAACUUCGGGAGAAGGCACGCUGAUAUGUAGGUGAAGUCCCUUGCGGAUGGAGCUGAAAUCAGUCGAAGAUACCAGCUGGCUGCAACUGUUUAUUAAAAACACAGCACUGUGCAAACACGAAAGUGGACGUAUACGGUGUGACGCCUGCCCGGUGCCGGAAGGUUAAUUGAUGGGGUUAGCGGUAACGCGAAGCUCUUGAUCGAAGCCCCGGUAAACGGCGGCCGUAACUAUAACGGUCCUAAGGUAGCGAAAUUCCUUGUCGGGUAAGUUCCGACCUGCACGAAUGGCGUAAUGAUGGCCAGGCUGUCUCCACCCGAGACUCAGUGAAAUUGAACUCGCUGUGAAGAUGCAGUGUACCCGCGGCAAGACGGAAAGACCCCGUGAACCUUUACUAUAGCUUGACACUGAACAUUGAGCCUUGAUGUGUAGGAUAGGUGGGAGGCUUUGAAGUGUGGACGCCAGUCUGCAUGGAGCCGACCUUGAAAUACCACCCUUUAAUGUUUGAUGUUCUAACGUUGGCCCCUAAUCGGGGUUGCGGACAGUGUCUGGUGGGUAGUUUGACUGGGGCGGUCUCCUCCUAAAGAGUAACGGAGGAGCACGAAGGUUGGCUAAUCCUGGUCGGACAUCAGGAGGUUAGUGCAAUGGCAUAAGCCAGCUUGACUGCGAGCGUGACGGCGCGAGCAGGUGCGAAAGCAGGUCAUAGUGAUCCGGUGGUUCUGAAUGGAAGGGCCAUCGCUCAACGGAUAAAAGGUACUCCGGGGAUAACAGGCUGAUACCGCCCAAGAGUUCAUAUCGACGGCGGUGUUUGGCACCUCGAUGUCGGCUCAUCACAUCCUGGGGCUGAAGUAGGUCCCAAGGGUAUGGCUGUUCGCCAUUUAAAGUGGUACGCGAGCUGGGUUUAGAACGUCGUGAGACAGUUCGGUCCCUAUCUGCCGUGGGCGCUGGAGAACUGAGGGGGGCUGCUCCUAGUACGAGAGGACCGGAGUGGACGCAUCACUGGUGUUCGGGUUGUCAUGCCAAUGGCACUGCCCGGUAGCUAAAUGCGGAAGAGAUAAGUGCUGAAAGCAUCUAAGCACGAAACUUGCCCCGAGAUGAGUUCUCCCUGACUCCCUGAGAGUCCUGAAGGAACGUUGAAGACGACGACGUUGAUAGGCCGGGUGUGUAAGCGCAGCGAUGCGUUGAGCUAACCGGUACUAAUGAACCGUGAGGCUUAACCU
rnacentral:rRNA from 1 species